rnacentral:rRNA from 1 species
UUCCGUAGGUGAACGUGCGGAAGGAUCAUUG